rnacentral:lncRNA from 1 species
ACACCGCGGCGCUAGAGAAGACCAGGAAAAAGGACCUGAGCCAGCUUGCCGUCUUAACAAAAAUUUCAAACUUUGCAAAGCGGUAUACCUUCUUAUUCUCCAGUUCAGUAUUGCCAGUGAAGUCAUACUGAACGCAGACAAGGAAAAGAAAGAAAAAGAAACUCAAUGAGAUAUGUUGUCAUCUUCCCUGUUUUAUGGAUGAAGUUCUAAGUAGAGGUUCGGAGAAGAUGUUCAGCCUCAGAACGUAGCCACCUUGCUGUGAGAAAGCCCAACCAUCUUGUACAGCGAGACCACAUGGAGAGGCGCAUGUGGAAAGGAACGGAGGCUACAAGCCGAUAGCCAGCAUCGACUGCCAGGCACGGAGAGUGAGUCUUCAGAUGAAUCCAGCCUCAGCCUAGAGUCUUUUGUCUCAGGCCCCAGACACUGUGGAGCAGGGACAAGCCAUCCCCACUGUGUCCCACCCGCAUUCCUGAUCCACAGAAUCUAUGAGCACAAUAAAUAGUUGCUUUAUGGCAGAG